UUCUGUGUUACACUAUGUUUGUACUUUUUGAAAGGUUAUGGUUCGAUAGUUUUCAAAAGAACUUUCUUCCAUUGUACCGACAGAAAUACACAAAUAUAUACGUGUCAUUACGACACAAGGAGGAUUUUUCUCAUGGAAAACGGAACUGUAAAAUGGUUUAACGCAGAAAAAGGUUAUGGCUUUGUAACUCGCGAAGAUGGUAGUGAUGUAUUCGUACAUUUCUCAGCUAUCCAAGGCGACGGUUACAAGACGCUUGAAGAAGGUCAAAGCGUUUCUUUCGAUAUCGAAGAAAGCGAUCGCGGCCCACAAGCUGUUAACGUUAACAAACUUUAAUAUACUAAAUUAACCAAAGCGGCUGGGAACAGUCGCUUUUUU
rnacentral:sRNA from 1 species